rnacentral:lncRNA from 1 species
CAUCAGGAGAACGAGGCUGACGAGCCACCCUGCUGUUGCAAAUGCCUUUGGCAUGGUUAGGGCUCCUGUCCCGACGAUGAGGUUGAACAUGUAAACCAGACCAACAUACGGAGAGUAGAGCUCCCCCGUAUCUGUGAUGCCCCCAGCCAUGGUGACGACAGCUGGGAGAACUGCAGGAAACGAAGACGGUGUUUGCAACUUC